AUGAAGUGGGUAACAUUAAUUUCAUUUAUUUUCCUCUUAAGUUCUGCCACAUCCUGGAAUCUGGAAAGAGUUCCUCGAGAGGCAGAACACAAGAGUGAGAUUGCCCAUCGCUACAAUGAUUUGAAGGAAGAGACAUUUAAGGCAGUUACCAUGAUCACAUUUGCCCAGUAUCUCCAGAGGUGUUCUUACGACGGACUGUCUAAGCUGGUGAAGGAUGUUGUUGAUCUGGCACAGAAGUGUGUGGCCAAUGAGGAUGCUCCUGAAUGCACAAAAUCACUGCCCUCCAUUUUCCUGGAUGAAAUCUGCCAAGUAGAAAAGCUCCGUGACUCAUAUGGUGCAAUGGCUGACUGCUGUGGUAAAGCUGAUCCUGAAAGAAAUGAGUGUUUCCUGUCAUUUAAAGUUCCCCAACCAGACUUCGUUCAGCCAUACCAAAGACCAGCUUCUGAUGUGAUAUGCAAGGAGUAUCAGGACAACCGGGUGUCACUGCUGGGACAUUUCAUCUAUUCUGUUGCAAGAAGAAACCCCUUCUUGUACGCUCCUACAAUCCUCAGUCUGGCUGCUGAUUACGAACAUGCACUUCAAACCUGUUGCAAAGAGAGUGACGUUGGUGCUUGCUUGGAUGAAAAGGCAGUUGCCAUAAAAGAAAGAGCCAAGAAAGUCAGUGUGAAGCAGCAGUAUUCUUGUGGAAUCCUCAAGAAGUUUGGUGAGAGAACUUUCCAAGCAGAUAAACUUGCUCUCCUGGGCCAGAAAUAUCCCAAGGCUCCAUUCUCGGAAAUUCUUAAAGUUCUGCGUGAUAUUAAGGGUAUCUACAGAGAGUGCUGUGAGGGUGACAUGGUCGAAUGCAUGGAUGACAGGGCAGAGCUUAUGACGUACAUGUGCUCUAAACAAGAAGUUUUCUCAAGUAAAAUCAAGCACUGCUGUGAGAAGCCAGUCGUGGAACGAAGCCAGUGCAUUAUUGAAGCAGAUUUUGAUGACAAACCUGAAGAUCUCCCCUCACUAGUUGAAAAAUACAUACAGGAUAAGGAAGUGUGUAAAAGCUUUGAGGCAGACCAUGAUGCAUUCUUGUCAGAGUUUGUUUAUGAAUACUCACGAAGACACCCUGAGUUCUCCACGCAGCUGAUUCUGAGAGUUGCUAAGGGAUAUGAAACACUCCUGGAAAAGUGCUGCAAAACAGACAACCCUGCUGAGUGCUAUGGAAAUGCUCAAGAGGAUUUGAACAAACAUAUCGAAGAAACUCAGGAUGUUGUGAAGACAAACUGUGAACUUCUCACUACCCAUGGCGAGCAAGACUUUCUUAAAGCACUUCUGAUCCGCUACACUAAGAAAAUGCCCCAAGUAUCAACUGAUACCUUGCUUGAAAUUGGAAAGAAAAUGACAGAAGUCGGUAACAAGUGCUGCCAGCUUCCUCAAGACAAACGCCUACCUUGCUCUGAGGGAUAUCUGAGCAUUGUGAUUCAGGAUAUGUGCAGGAGACAGGAGACCACACCCAUAAAUGACAACGUUUCACAUUGCUGCAGCGACUCCUAUGCUUACAGGAGACCAUGUUUCACUGCCAUGGGAGUAGAUACCAAAUAUGUGCCUCCAGCAUUUGACCCUGAGAUGUUCAGCUUUGAUGAAAAACUGUGCACUGCUUCUCCUGCUGAACGGGACUUAGGGCAUAUGAAAUUGCUUGUCAACCUCAUUAAACGCAAGCCCCAGAUGACAGAAGAACAAAUAAAGACAAUUGCUGAAGGUUUCACUGCCAUGGUAGACAAGUGCUGCAAGCAAUCAGAUAUUGAGACAUGCUUUGGGGAAGAGGGUGCAAACCUGAUAGUCCAGAGCAGAGCCACACUGGGAAUUGGCGCUUAACUGGCUAGUCUGAAUAAGAAUAAGCACACCUGCAGCUGUGGAUAAAACUGCAACUGUACAAAAGUAUUCUUUAACCACUUAAGCGUCGCAUAAAGAGCAGUGGCUCAUUUGAAACUGCUGGAUUUUAAAUGGAUGCAAGACUGAACCAGAUCCACAAGUGCAUUCUGUCUGUUCUGCGCUUUCCCAUGAACAAAUAGGAACCUCCACUUUAAUUCUUUCAGCAGAAGUGUGUAAAGCACCGAGAACAGGCUAAAGAAACUGUGCCUCAACUCAGGCUCCCCUGCAUGUUCUACACCUGCAAAUAAACCACAAUAGUAUAACAGA